ACAGUCAUAGCACAUUGAAACACCUGUUCUUGUAUGAUUACUGAAGUUAAGCAAUAUUGAGCCUGGUCAAUAGCUAGAUGUGUGAAGUCUUGGGAAUACCAGGAGCUGUAA